UCCCGGUGCCGCCGCGGGCCGGGGAUGGACGGGCAGGUACCGGCAGGAACGGGCGGACACAGAGCGCACACCGCCCCUGAGCACGGCCGGGGACCGCCCCGGUGCCCCCGCGCCGCCUCAGCCGCUCAGGUCAUCCCAACAUGGAUUCCCUCACCAAGGCAAUGACAUCUUCCUUCCAGUCAAACACUUCCCACCUAACAAGGAACAAGGAAUUUCUGCCAGAUUUAUUCCAGAAUCUGCAGCCUCAGCCACACAAAGGCACCAGGGAAGCAAAGAAAACUCCUUCCAGGCAUUGUCUCCAUGAGAACAAGGGGACAAUCAGGAAGCAGCUCGUGUUGGAGUGACUCUGACAGGGACAGAAGUGUGUCCAGGUUUCUGCAGCCCUGAGUCCCUUCCAGGACAAGGUUUAACUCGUUCUGACUCUCAGGGCAUCAGGGAGACUCUGAGCUGUGUUAUCCUGCCCUGGGGUAUCCAACAGCCCUGACAUUCCAAAGGAACAGAGCAGCUGAUGGAUGGGAAAUACACCCUGCUGCAUCCUCACCUGUUUGCAGAGUUGGGAACAGCAGGAGGGAGCACCUGCAAUGCAAAGAAAUGCAUCUGUGAGUUUGUGUGCUAGAGAGGCUGGGGAGGCAACUGGGGCACACUUUAAACAUCAUUUCCCUCCUCCUGAGCCAUCCGUUUCCCCACACAGUUAAACCCAAACAUCUGUUUCUUAGAUUAAAUGAAAUUUAAUGUAAAGAACUUCCCCCAAUUCCCUGUUUUUGACAAGCUGAGGCAGUGGUUUCUGAGGCAGGGAAUGCUGAGGAGCUCUGGAGGACACUGGACAGAGGACAGUGAGGGGAUGUCCCCCCCCCACGGGGAUGAGAUGGCCACAUUUGGCUAUAAUUUAUCUCCUCCUGCUA